UGAAACCUGGUGUCACCAAUUUCCACUCACAAAAUGGAGCUACAGAAUCCUGCAUUCUGAAGACUGAAGAAACAAAGCAGUGAGGAAGUAACCAACAUAAUUCUUAUAAGAAGAGGACUUAGAAAAUGCCCAUUUACAAAAGGAUGGAGAGAUGCUUUACCAGUAUGUCCGCACAGGACCAACCUCUCCACAGCCAGGGACAGUGCCUGAAUGAAGAAUUCCUCAUCUACUACUUUACCAACAUCUUCAAGGGAUCCAUCAUAAACCACACAGGAAAUGUUCCUCACUCGUGUUCCCUCUCCACACUGAGCAUCCUAUGGAAGGAGGACAUAUAUGGAUACUGGACAGAAAAAAGUGCCAAAAGACUAGAUUUGACUUAUGUGUCACUCUGU